UACGGAGGGAGCUAGCGUUGUUCGGAAUUACUGGGCGUAAAGCGCGCGUAGGCGGCUUUGUAAGUUAGAGGUGAAAGCCUGGGGCUCAACUCCAGAACUGCCUUUAAGACUGCAUCGCUAGAAUCCAGGAGAGGUGAGUGGAAUUCCGAGUGUAGAGGUGAAAUUCGUAGAUAUUCGGAAGAACACCAGUGGCGAAGGCGGCUCACUGGACUGGUAUUGACGCUGAGGUGCGAAAGCGUGGGGAGCAAACAGG
rnacentral:rRNA from 1 species